AGCAUAUCAAUAAGCGGAGGAAAAGAAACCAACAGGGAUUGCCUCAGUAACGGCGAGUGAAGCGGCAAGAGCUCAAAUUUGAAAUCUGGCCCCUCCGGGGUCCGAGUUGUAAUUUGCAGAGGAUGCUUCGGAUACGGCCCCCGCCUAAGUGCCCUGGAACGGGCCGUCGGAGAGGGUGAGAAUCCCGUCUGGGACGGGGUGUCCGUGUCCGUGUGAAGCUCCUUCGACGAGUCGAGUUGUUUGGGAAUGCAGCUCUAAAUGGGUGGUAAAUUUCAUCUAAAGCUAAAUAUUGGCCGGAGACCGAUAGCGCACAAGUAGAGUGAUCGAAAGAUGAAAAGCACUUUGAAAAGAGAGUUAAACAGCACGUGAAAUUGUUGAAAGGGAAGCGCUUGCGACCAGACUCGCCUGCGGGGUUCAGCCGGGAUUCGUCCCGGUGUACUUCCCCGCAGGCGGGCCAGCGUCGGUUUGGGCGGCCGGUCAAAGGCCUCCGGAAUGUAUCGCCCCCCGGGGCGUCUUAUAGCCGGAGGUGCAAUGCGGCCUGCCCGGACCGAGGAACGCGCUUCGGCACGGACGCUGGCAUAAUGGUCGUAAGCGACC
rnacentral:rRNA from 1 species